CCUACGGGUGGCAGCAGUGGGGAAUAUUGCACAAUGGGGGAAACCCUGAUGCAGCGACGCCGCGUGAGGGAAGAAGUAAUUCGUUAUGUAAAGCUCUAUCAGCAGGGAAGAAAAUGACGGUACCUGAGUAAGAAGCCCCGGCUAACUACGUGCCAGCAGCCGCGGUAAUACGUAGGGGGCAAGCGUUAUCCGGAUUUACUGGGGGUAAAGGGAGCGUAGACGGCAUGGCAAGUCUGGAGUGAAAGGCUGGGGCUCAACCCCCGGACUGCCCUUGAAACUGUACGGCUGGAGUGCAGGAGAGGUAGGUGGAAGUCGUGGUGUAGCGGUGAAAUGCGUAGAUAUUAGGAGGAACACCAGUUGCGAAGGCGGCUUACUAGACUGUAACUGACGUUGAUGCUCGAAAGCGUGGGGAGCAAACAGGAUUAGAUACCCCAGUAGUC
rnacentral:rRNA from 1 species